GGGCCCGCACAAGCAGUGGAGUAUGUGGUUUAAUUCGAAGCAACGCGAAGAAUCUUACCAAGGCUUGACAUGCAGAUGAAUAAUGUGGAAACAUAUUAGCUCUUCGGAGCAUCUGUGCAGGUGGUGCAUGGUUGUCGUCAGCUCGUGUCGUGAGAUGUUGGGUUAAGUCCCGCAACGAGCGCAACCCCUGUCAUUAGUUACCAGCACGUUAAGGUGGGCACACUAGUGAGACUGCCGUGAAUAACGCGGAGGAAGGUGGGGACGACGUCAAAUCAUCAUGCCCUAUAUGUCUUGGGCUACACACGUACUACAAUGGCCGUAACAGAGAGAAGCGAAAUAGCGAUAUGGAGCAAAACUUAAAAAAGCGGUACACAGUUCGGAUUGGAGGCUGAAAUUCGCCUCCGAUGAAGCCGGAAUUGCUAGUAAUGGCAGGUCAGCAUACUG
rnacentral:rRNA from 1 species